GCCUGGCUGGCUCAGUUGGUAGAGCAUGUAACCCUUAAUCUCAGGGUUUUGAGUUUGAGCCUCAUGUUGGGUG
rnacentral:tRNA from 1 species